AAGCCAGUGGUGAACUCCACAUACGCAUCCUUUGCUGAGGAUACGGUUAACGGAGCGAAAGCGACGUUCAACCUCAAAAGAAGCAGAGGGGGCUUAGUGGUGGGGUGACUGCGUACCUUUUGUAUAAUGGGUCAGCGACUUAUAUUCUGUAGCAAGGUUAACCGAAUAGGGGAGCCGGAGGGAAACCGAGUCUUAACCGGGCGUUAAGUUGCAGGGUAUAGACCCGAAACCCGGUGAUCUAGCCAUGGGCAGGUUGAAGGUUGGGUAACACUAACUGGAGGACCGAACCGACUAAUGUUGAAAAAUUAGCGGAUGACCUGUGGCUGGGGGUGAAAGGCCAAUCAAACCGGGAGAUAGCUGGUUCUCCCCGAAAGCUAUUUAGGUAGCGCCUCGUGAAUUCAUCUCCGGGGGUAGAGCACUGUUUCGGCUAGGGGGCCAUCCCGGCUUACCAACCCGAUGCAAACUGCGAAUACCGGAGAAUGUUAUCACGGGAGACACACGGCGGGUGCUAACGUCCGUCGUGAAGAGGGAAACAACCCAGACCGCCAGCUAAGGUCCCAAAGUCAUGGUUAAGUGGGAAACGAUGUGGGAAGGCCCAGACAGCCAGGAUGUUGGCUUAGAAGCAGCCAUCAUUUAAAGAAAGCGUAAUAGCUCACUGGUCGAGUCGGCCUGCGCGGAAGAUGUAACGGGGCUAAACCAUGCACCGAAGCUGCGGCAGCGACGCUUAUGCGUUGUUGGGUAGGGGAGCGUUCUGUAAGCCUGUGAAGGUGGCCUGUGAGGGUUGCUGGAGGUAUCAGAAGUGCGAAUGCUGACAUAAGUAACGAUAAAGCGGGUGAAAAGCCCGCUCGCCGGAAGACCAAGGGUUCCUGUCCAACGUUAAUCGGGGCAGGGUGAGUCGACCCCUAAGGCGAGGCCGAAAGGCGUAGUCGAUGGGAAACGGGUUAAUAUUCCCGUACUUGGUGUUACUGCGAAGGGGGGACGGAGAAGGCUAUGUUGGCCGGGCGACGGUUGUCCCGGUUUAAGCGUGUAGGUGUGUGUUCCAGGUAAAUCCGGUUCACUUUAACACUGAGGCGUGAUGACGAGGCACUACGGUGCUGAAGCAACAAAUGCCCUGCUUCCAGGAAAAGCCUCUAAGCAUCAGGUAACAUCAAAUCGUACCCCAAACCGACACAGGUGGUCAGGUAGAGAAUACCAAGGCGCUUGAGAGAACUCGGGUGAAGGAACUAGGCAAAAUGGUGCCGUAACUUCGGGAGAAGGCACGCUGACACGUAGGUGAAGUGAUUUACUCA
rnacentral:rRNA from 1 species